UGGCACUGUCUAGUGUCUCCUUAGUUCUUCCACUGACUUUGGAGUCUCAUUCCAGUGCUAGAUUAAACCCUUCUUGCAGAAAGGCCAGGAUCUGCUGUGACCUGCCCCUUCCGAUAGCUGGGUACACAU